UUAUAUAAUCACCACCAACUCCACUCAAUUGGCACCAACGUUCCACCACGAAAGAGAGAGUUUUAAAAAAAAAAACAAAAUGUUGCAAAGCAAGAUAAAAGAAAAGGAAAAGUGUGCACUACAAUCCUUUGCCCACCACCUUUUGCUUUCCUCCACUACAUUCUCCCCACCAUCUUCGAUUCUUGAAGGCUACUAGCCAACACUUCUUCAAGCAAACAAUUCAGCAGCAACCUUCCUCCAUUCACCUCCAUUCAUUCCUUCUCUCAUACACUAAGCACCAGAAAGGGAGAUGAAGAGAAGUUAAUUCCUGCUGCCAACUGCCAAGUAUCGAGAGUUCCUUCCCCAUUGAAUUCAUUAUCAACAACAGCAGCUACCAACACAAAAUACUCAAGGUAAUUUGAUAUCCCAAAUAUUCAAUUCAGUUUGCAUCCAUAUCUAGCAUAUCACAGUUCAUCUACAUCAAAUAGCCUAGAUAUUUCGUACAAUAGAAAGUAUAAACUUCACAAACAGGCUGCACUCUAGAACAACAAACUAUGAGAGUUUUUCCCAGACCAUUACCAACUGAACAUGAACCGAGAUAAUUGAGUAAGAAAAAGACUUAGCUUUGAGAGAAGGGCUGACAGCCCGACGGGGACGACGACGAUGGUCGGGAUAGGGCUGAACUCACACGGCCUCAUCAAGACCCAAGAACAGCUACGGCGUUAUCGAUCUAGGGGGAGAAGAAGAAGACCGAAACCAGGGCCUGGAACAUCGGACGCUCGACAGCAGCGUCCUUCCCUUUUCUGAAAUCAGGGCUCGAUGUUGGGGGAGGAAGGAGGACGGCGCCGGGGUUUGACGCGUCGACAGUCGACGCCGCUCGGAGCAGGCGGCAGCGGUGUAGCCGGAGAAGGAAGACAGAUCGGAUUUGAGGGAGAAAACCGGUCUGAAACUUCAGGGGAUAUUUAGAGCUUUCGAUCCCCUUCACGUUAGAGACGGGGAGAAAGAGAGGCAGGUGCAACCGGCGCCGACUGAGUCGCCGGUUCCGCGGCGGCGGCGGUGGACCUCGGAGACGGAAAAGAGUUUCAGACGGCGACCUUGGCAGUUUGGCGGCUGCUUCGACGGGAGUCGAAGUCUCGGUUGGCGGCAGCUUAGCUGCUGCAGUCGCCGGAGCAAUUCGCAGCGAAGCUCGCGAAGAGAAAUCACGGGCGAGAGAGAGGGAGAAGUCUUGUGCGGCAAGGGAGAGUAUCGGCUCCAAUUGAGAGAGAAAAGAGAGAGGACCGAUAGUUUGAGAGAGAGAGAGAGUUGGGCUUGAUGCUAUUUUAAUUAAGUUUGGGCUUUUCUAUUUGGGCCUCACCUUUUAAUUGUUGUGGGCCAAAGACUUUUAAGUUCGGGCUUGAUUUUAAUUGCUUGGGCUUUCACAGUUAAAUUCGAAUUGGGCCAGUCUUUUAUUUAAUUGGCCCUUCUCAUUAAUUCUAUUGGGCUCGAUUUAAUUAAGGAGUUUGGCUGAUGCAUAUUUUAUGAUGGGCUAUUAUUCUAAUCCCAUUUAUAUUUCGUUGGGCCAGUUUAAUUCAUCAUUUUGGCCGAUUAAAUUGCCUUUUUGGGCUAAGAUUAAUUCUUUUCAGUCCACAUUAAUUAUUAUUUGGACCCCUAUUUAAAUUGUUUUGGGUCGAAGACUUUUUAAGUUAGGCUUUAAUUCUUUUAAAGCUUGAGCUGAAGUUACUCCUUUGAGCUAAGCCUAGCAGUAUCAAUUUUUGAUGGAGCCCAAUUAUUUAUCAGUAAUGAGCCGCCCAGUUUAUUAAUUAAUGUUUUUGGACUUCCGACUUUAAAGCAAGCCAUUAUUGUUUAAUUCAUUUAAGCCACUGGUUUAUUUAAUUAAUUGGCUACUCUCUUUUGAGCCUAUUAAUUAUUUGAGGUUACGCUAGUAAUGAUGCUUCUAUCGAAAAGCCCGAUAAUUUCUACAAGGUCACACCUCGUUUAAAGCCGAGUUAGUCAUUUUUCAAUCAAGUACAAAUGCGAGGUUUAUUUCACGACUAGAAUAUUCCGAUGAGGAAGGAAGAAUCACAAUUUUAUUCGACCGCGCUAGACGAGAAUUAGCUAAAUCUAUUAAUGAGGAUUAAUAGUAGAAUUCCCGAUUAUCGCUCAGAAGAUUAGUUCAUGCAUACCAGAUUCAUGCAUAGUUAAAUUACGCUUUCUCAUUAAUUAAGAAUUUUCCUCGAGGCAAUGUCUUAUUUUAUAUUCUCGUGAUUAAGGUCAAGCGCGAGAGUAAGAACUACACAAGGAGUUAGAGUACCUUAGCAAAACUUUGCUAUCAGGUGGGCAAUUUCUUACGCGUAAAUAAAAUGCUAUGCAUGUGUUAUGCUUUAAAAUGCAAAUUGGAUCUUCAAGUGUGGUAUGCUUUAUUAUGCUUUACGCUAAAUGAUUUACGCUUGAUUACGCUUGAAUGCUUUACGCUGAUAAGUUUAUGCUUAUGUUUGAUGCUUGCGUCUGUUGGGGGAGGCCUCCCUCAACAGUACGAUGCCGUGUCCGCUGAGGAGGGCCUUCCUCACGGCGCGACGCCCGUGUCCGCUGAGAGAGGCCUCUCUCGCGGCGCGAUGCCAGUAUGCCAGUGUUACAGCGUCUAUUGGGGGAGGCCUCCCUCAAUAGUACGAUGCCGUGACCGCUGAGGGAGGCCCCCUUCACGGUGCGAUGUCCGUGUCGUUGGGAAGCCUUCUCCACGACACGAUGCUUGUUAUGAUUGUUAUGAUGAAGAAUGCGCUUAUGCUGUUUAUGAAUUUGGAAAUGUUUAUUGAGCAAUGGAUAUGAAAGAAACUCAUGCCUCUUAUGCGAUAUUGUGAAAUUGUUAAUGAUGUUAUGUUAUAUGCUUGGCAACUGCCCACUAAGUACUCUUGUACUUAGCCCUUCGAUGUUUAUGUUUGUGCAGGUUGAGCUGUGAUGGGCGAUGAAGUGUUGUUGCUGAGUGGAGUUUUUGUCGAACUUAAAGUAGGCUCAGAAAGGGUACAUGUCUUCAUACAUGUAUCUCAGUUAUGCAUUCCGCUGUAAACACUGAUUAUUUCAGUUACGCCUUCCGUUGCAAACUCUGAUAAUAUUUUAGCCAAGCCCCUAACGAUGCCUUUUUCCUUUUAAGGAAUAUAACGCGUAUACAAGUUCUUUGAGUACCCUUUUUAUGCGAACUAUGCCUUUUUCCUUUUAAGGAAUAUAACACGUAUACAAGUUCUUUGAGUACCCUUUUUAUGCGACCUAUGCCUUUUUCCUUUUUAAGGAAUAUUUCACGCGUAUUCAAGUCCUUUGAGUAUUCUUUUAUGCGCCCCUUUCUCAACCCGCUUCUUAAUUUCCCUUCCCCAGUCAUGGU
rnacentral:lncRNA from 1 species